UACGUAGGGGGCUAGCGUUGUCCGGAAUCAUUGGGCGUAAAGAGCGUGUAGGCGGUCCGGUAAGUCCGCUGUGAAAGUCGGGGGCUCAACCCUCGAAUGCCGGUGGAUACUGUCGGGCUAGAGUGCGGUAGAGGCGAGUGGAAUUCCCGGUGUAGCGGUGAAAUGCGCAGAUAUCGGGAGGAACACCAGUAGCGAAGGCGGCUCGCUGGGCCACACCUGACGCUGAGACGCGAAAGCUAGGGGAGCGAACAGG
rnacentral:rRNA from 1 species